rnacentral:lncRNA from 1 species
AAAAAAAGAGACUUAUCUGAUUUGUAUUUGUGUAUAAUUCGCCAUUACUUUUUAAAUCCUGGAGUGUCAGGGAGUAUAGGAUGUACUGAACUGUCCUUACUCCACUCCACCCCACUCCACUCCACUGAUGCCCUCCUCUCUCCGGCUACUCUAUUCUCCUCUACUUAUGAUCCAAUACUUACGAAUUCUGAUCAUCCACCAAAGACAAGAGAGUCUGAUCAUGACAGGAAACUCACAUAUACAGUUCUCGAAUACAAUAACAAAAUUCGAUAAUUAGUGAAAAUCAAUGAUGGAACAGAAGGUCUUGGUGAGGUGUAUAGUGUUGUGGUCCAUGGCUGAUUUCCUGACGUACAAGAUAAUGGUGAUUGGUUACUCUAGAUAUAAUAGAGAAUGGUGAUUGGUUAGUCUGGAAGUAGUAGAGAAUGGUGAUUGGUUAGUCUGGACGCAGUAGAGAAUGGUGAUUGGUUAGUCUAGACGCAGUAGAGAAUGGUGAUUGGUUACUCUAGAAAUAAUAGAGAAUGGUGAUUGGUUACUCUAGAAAUAAUAGAGAAUGGUGAUUGGUUAGUCUGGAAGUAGUAGAGAAUGGUGAUUGGUUAGUCUAGACGCAGUAGAGAAUGGUGAUUGGCUACUUUAAGGUGUCUGGUACAUACUACAGGUCUAGUACUUAGUGUACAAUUGAGGCUAUAUAUCCUUUGUCAAUCUCUUCUGGCUAACCCGGUUAUAUAGCGUGUUGGAGAUUGGUUGUUCUCUCUCUCUCUCUCUCUCUCUCUCUCUCUCUCUCUCUCUCUCUCUCUCUCUUUCUCUCUUUCUCUCUCUCAAACACACUCCUGUUCGCAAAGAGUCUGACCUACGUCUUAAAUUUGGCCGGGAACUGACAACCUGAUACAACCUGAUAGAGGUCUACAGAGGUCGAGGCUACAGAAGUCGAGGCUACAGAGGUCGAGGCUCCAGAGGUCGAGGCUACAGUGGUCGAGGCUACAGAGGUCGAGGCUACAGAGGUCGAUUGGUCGGUCGGUUGGUUGGUCAGUCAGUUGCUCGGUUAGUUGGUCGGUUGGUCGGUCGGGUAUGACAGUCGGGUCUAUCCUCUUGUAUCUGACAGACAGCGGGAGGGGAUAAAGUCACAGGGAAAUCUAUAAGUCAGACAGUUGACAGACAGAACUAGACAACGAUUCUCUGUACACACACACACACACACACACACACACACACACACACACACACACACACACACACACACAGUAUCAAUACUUUGGUGUAUACACAAUACAUGUCAAGUACACAACCAUGUACACACACAGGACCUAGUAUAUACACAGUCUCAAUAUUUCUGUGUACAAAUCCUCGGGAAAUGCCACGUUCACAGUUUGUAUGUUUGCUGUGUAUACAUUCUUAGGGUACAUGGCAUACAGAGAAUCAGAUUUUAUGGUCUCUCUCUCUCUCUCUCUCUCUCACUAUCUUUUAUCAUCUCCAUCACGGCUGAGACACUCAUCACUCCCUCUCUCUCCAUAUCUCUCCCUCUCUCCCCUCUCCUUUCCUAUCCCUCUCUCCCUCAUGGCCGCCAGACAGUCCAACAUCUCGUGAUAGGUAAAUUAUUUAACUACUUAUAUGUAGAGCAAAAUUUGGUAGGUAGUAUAAUAAUGUACGAUUAUCAUAUUUCACUUUUCUUAGUCAUCUCUUUUGGGCUAUAAGUUUCCUAUAAUUAAUAUUGGUAAAAUUAAUUAUGGUUGAUUAAUUAAGGAAGUACACCUGUUUCAUGAGUUAAAUUCCUACCUGCUGACUCACCUGAGCUGCUGACUCACCUACUUGGUGACUCACCUGAAGUGUUGAGUAAAUUGUGUUGUUGUUGUUGUUGUUGGCUGAUGAAUAACUCUUAUUCAGUUUAUUUAGUUAUGUCAGAAAGCUCUAUGAAUACAGAUCCUGAAUGACUAACUAAACUGACUUGCUUGAACACUACUGGCCAGAGUCAUCACACACACACACACCACACACACACACACACACACACACACACACACACACACACACACACACACACACACACAUACACACACACACACACACACACAAAGCGACAAAAAACAGGAAUUUCAGAGUCUUUUUUGUGCUGGACACCCUGAAGACCUUUUGUUAGAGCUCGGCCGAUGAUGACCGCAGCUGUAGUGGCACCAUCACCAUUACUACCACUACCAUCAUCACCACUACCACUACCAUCAUCACCACUACCACUAACAUCACUACCACUAACAUCACUACCAC